UUUUUUAUAAAAGUAAUUUAUUUAUUUUAAGUUUUAGUAUUUAGUAAAAAUUAAUUUUUAGAUUUAUAGUUUAAUAGUAUUGUAAAAGAAUUAUUUAAAUUUGAAAAAGAAUAUUUUUAGUACCUUUUGUAUCAGGGUUAAUUAAAAUUUUUAAUUUUUUUUUAAAUUCUCAAAAUUUAUAGAGUUAAUUUUAUUAUUAAUUUAUUGUGUUAUAAAUAUUUAUAAAAUAAUAUUGGUUUUGAAAUUUAAUUCGUUAUAUUAUAUUUAGUUAUUUAAGAUUUAAAUUUAAUUUAAAAUUUUAAAAGUUAUUUUGAUUUUAUAUAUUAAUAUUUUAAAUUUAAAUUAUUUUAGGGAUAAGCUUGAAAUUUUUAUAUAAUAAUUUAUUUAUUUUAAUAAUUUAUAGGAAUAGAAAUUUUUAUUUUAAGUUUGUAAAAAUUUAUUAUUUGUUUAGUUUUAAUUUAUUAUAAUUUUAUUUAUUUUUUUUAUUAAAUUUUAUUAAUUAAUAUUUAAUUUUUAGUAAUAAUGAUUAAAUUAGUAUAAUGUAUAUUUAUAAAUUAUGAAUUCGGCAAAAAUUAUUUUCAUCUGUUUAACAAAAACAUUGUAUUAAGUUUAAUUUAAUAUAGGAUCUGCUCAAUGAUUUAUUAAAUAGCUGCAGUAUUUUGACUGUGCAAAGGUAGCAUAAUAAUUAGUCUUUUAAUUGAGGACUUGUAUGAAAGAUUUGAUGAGAAAUAAACUUUAUUAUUUAUAUAAUUAAAAUUUUAUUUUUAAGUAAAAAAGCUUAAAUUAUUUAAAGGGACGAUAAGACCCUAUAAAACUUUAUAAAUAGUAAUUUUAAUUUUUUUGGAUUAAUAAAUAUUUUAAUUUUAUUAUUUAUUUUAUUGGGGUGAUAAAAAAAAUUAUUAAACUUUUUUUAAAAUUUUACAUUAUUUAGUGAAUAGUUGAAUUAAAAUUUUUAAUUAAAGGAAAAAGUUACUUUAGGGAUAACAGCGUAAUUAAUUUUUUAAGUUCAAAUUUAAAAAUUAGUUUGCGACCUCGAUGUUGAAUUAAGUUUAAUCUUAGGUGCAAAAUUUUAAGUAUUAGGUCUG
rnacentral:rRNA from 1 species